AGACUAGUUUCUCUGUCGUUCUCCAAGCGUUACCUACCGUGUUUAUUCCAUAAGUGACUUUGGCCUUUGCUUACGUCCCCGACCACGAUUUCUGUCUUGCCCCGUUUGUUUUGUUUGCAUGAUCACCUGACCCUCGCUUGCUUCUUGACUAUGGACUGUGCUCACAGCUCUGGAUUAUUCUGCCUGAACCUGCCGCUCGCUUCUGCUUCUGUAUUCCCCACGGAGACUAUUUGAGUUCCCUGGCUCGGUUUGGCUCUGCAUGCUGGACUGUCUCCUCUCACUCCUCUGUGCAAAAUCACUUCAUGCGACUGUUGGCAGCACUUGUUCUUGAUCCCCAAGUGGAAAGUU